rnacentral:lncRNA from 1 species
GUGGCCGUCACCCUUCGUCAGGGCAGGGUAGCAUCAGUGCUCCCGUGCUGGGGUUCCUGGAGAGCCGGCUGGCACGGACAGACUCUUGUGAGGGCAAGUGGCUGAUCGUGCGUCGGAUGGGUCCAGCAAAGGAGAGAAAGCUUCGGUGCGCGCGCGCUCGCCAGGGAAAGGGUGACAGCGGGUGGGACCGAGAGGGAGAGAGAGAGAGGGAGAGAACAAAGGAAGAGAGAGGGUUUCCGCAGGGGCGGUGAGUCCUGGCGGAAGUCCUGAGGCAGAGGAGGUGCCAGGGGUUUGGGUUUCCCGGUCGUGUCGGGGUGUGGCGCAGGUUGCCCCAGUGGGCCUGAAUGUGCCUCCGUGGGGCACCUUGUUGCCGUGUUGGGGGGCGGGGAGCCGGCCUUGGGGAUCCAUCUUUCGGGCCCUGGGACGUGGGAGAAGAAUGCCGGGGCCUCUCUCUGUGCCCCUGGCACGCCUCUGUGCAGGCCGGGCCUGCACCACCCCCCGCCCGUCCCCAGGCAGGGUCCGUGUGGCUGCAGACACCCAGAGAGAGGGGAGGCUGGGGAGGCUGGGGAGCCGUGGCAGCCCGAUGCAGUGCGGGUCUCCAGGUGGAGGGGCCCUGGUCCCCUGGCGCCAGCGUGGCCCUUCCUCCUUGUGGAAACCCUUGUGGUGUGUGUGCUCUCUCGCCCUGACCCAGGAGAGCAGCAUGGCGGACCCCUGAUCUUGUGGCGUGCCACCGCGCGAGGCCGAGGAGCUCCCGCAGACCAGUGGGCGUGGCGUCCUUGUCGCGGCUCUGUGGAGACCUGGCGAUGGAGAGCAGCAUGGCGGACCCCUGAUCUUGUGGCGUGCCACCGCGCGAGGCCGAGGAGCUCCCGCAGCCCAGUGGGCGUGGCGUCCUUGUCGCGGCUCUGUGGAGACCUGGCGAUGGUGAGCGGCCCCUGUCCUCAGUGGUGGAGAACUCGCCCUUGGGGCGCUCGUCUGUCCGGAGCCCCGGGCCAGCCCCGCUUCUCGCGGGCUUUGGCCCCGGCAGGCCAGCUCCGGGGGCGUGAGGGGGAGCGUCCCGUCCUGCCCAGUGGCUCGUCUGUCUGGGCACGCCCCCAAACGCUGCCGUGAUGGAGCGGGUGGGAUGUCCAGGUGCGGAGGCCGUGAAUUUGCCUUGCGGCGGCGGAGCCCGUGCUCGGAUCGAUGAUGACUCCCUCUAAAGCAUUCCUUGGAAAUCUGAACAAAAUGAGUGAGAACUCACUACCGUCUCCUCAUCGAAACUGAGGUCCGGCACGUGGCGGCCACCGGGGGCUCGGGGGUAGAUGGGCCCUUGGCCUUGGGGCCUCUGGGUGUCAGCAGCCACUCGGGUGAGGUCUGGGGAAGGCGGCCGCCUGCCGGGCCCAGGAAGCAUGGGGCCCGUCGCCCGGCGCUGGCCUCGGGGGCGAGGCCGCGUGCCCGAGCGUGCUGGAGAUCCCGGGCGGCCUCCCGCCGGCCUUGGGGGGUUUCGCAAGCCGUCGCGGGGGCCGAAAUUUGGGCCCGGCCCGCGAGGCAAGUGUGCGGCCCUAGGGCCCCAGGGGGCGUCCUGGCCCAGGCCGGGCGCCCUUCUCAGGAUGCUGUGGGGAGACGGGAUCCCGGCAGGGUAGUGUUCUCUUUCUGCUCUGGGGACCCCUGAGGGCCACCUGCUGCAGGGGGUCUGUGGUAGCGGGGGCCCUUGGAUCAGGGCCGUCCCCCAUGGGAGGGGGGCAGCCUGGGAACCCCUGAGGGCG